GAGACAAUCCGCCAGGGAAGAAGCGAGCAGUCAGGAGGAGUCACGCCCAGGGGACCGGGCGAGCCUCUGUCCUCCCCAGCCAGGGGACGCCGCCGGCGGCCGGGUCCACACCUAGCCGCUCCCUGGCUACCGCCCCCACCCCUGCUCUGCGAUUGGCCGGCUGCGGCGGAGGCGGGAGUGAGGCGCGGACGCAGCCGCCGCAUCCCGGGGUCUCCAGCCUGGGGGCGGGGCUCGGGGACCAGAACGGGGCGCCGAGCCCGGGCGGGGCGAGGAGCCAUUUCUCCGCACCCAGGGCCAGCUCCGCGCCCGCAGCCCCGGGGCCUGGGCAGCCGAGACUCCACGAUGCUGGAUAUCUUCAUCCUGAUGCUGUUUGCCAUCAUCGGCCUGGUCGUCCUGUCCUACAUCAUCUACCUGCUCUAGGGGCCCGGAGCCGCGGCCCAGACAGCCGGGAUGGAGCGCAAGGCCGAGCACCGCGCGCUGACGCCGGCCGAGUUCCGCUGCGGUCAUUAUUUCGGGUAUUGGUUCAAAACAAGGUGAACAGGGAGCUCGUUUUCCUGUUUUGUUUUUUUUCCUUCUCUCAGGGUGCAUUGAUGUCGCAUAUCUGGAGCGCUCUGAACAGAAUAAGAAACCUUUCUUUGGACCUAAUUUAAAAUGCAUACAUAGGAAAUGAAAGGUAGAACACACCCUCCUGCCCCCGCCGCGGUUCACAGCGUCCCCGGUGUGAGCGCAUUCAUUCAUUCCCUGGUGACUCGUUCUCUCUCCAGGACCAGCUCCCGGCCUCCAGCCCCACCGGAGGCCGCUUGUCCGCGGUCCGGCCGACUCGGGGGCGCUCGGCGGGGACAGCAGGGACUCGGGUCGUGGCUGACGGCCGCGCCGCGCGCAGGAGCUGUGGAUGGCGCGUGCUGAGAACACGGAAAGUUGAGAUGCAGACUCGCUGGAGCUGCCGCGGAGAGCUGUCCCGGAGUCCAUUCCGCCGGCCUCUCCGUGGCCCCGACGCUGGAACGGGCCCCUUCCUCUCCCUCUUCCAGGCAGGGGUUCCCGGAAGUCCAAGGGCGAAUUCCAGUUCUGUCACAAAACCUGAACUUGGCGGGCCGGGCGCCGCCGCGGCUCCGUGUCUCCUCCCCAGCCAGAACAACGUGUCCUGGAGUGUUUAGUUCUCGCCUCUUCCCCAGCCCAGAGCAUGUGUGCCCCAGCUUCUCAUUCUGGAGACGGUUGGUUACAUAGGCCGCCCGUUCUUGUCUAACCGAAUUAUAAACGAUUAAAACGAGAUGGCACCGCUAAUCCUACUUCGGGAAAAUCCUACCUGACAGUGUUUUUGUUUUUGUUUUUGUUUUUUAAUAGUGGCAAAUGUCUCUUUUGGGAAAAAACUUUCAACACGCUUCUCUAUCUAAGCAGGUUUAAAGAAACCGUGUAUUAUGGGGUCAAAGUCAAAUUAGCUUCCAAAUCUUUGCUAUUUAUUCCUUUGAAAAUCUAUCAUAAUUGUGCUAUGUUUGAUGUUGCUUUCUAGCUUAUAAAUAAAUAAGAAGUAGAAUGACUUGAUAGCUUUUGGUAAUAGCAUGUCUCAUUGCCAUGAUUUAAAAAGAAAUAAAAUUGGGGCAGUAUACUAUAUGUCACAAUUAAAAUGGAAAACUUGCAUUUCAUAAUUCUGGACAAAAAAAAAACCCUGUCCUGGAAGUUUUGUCUUGGCAACAAAUUAUGUCACCAUCAAUCAGUCAUCCACUUUAGGCCUCCCGCUUGUUCUGUCAAGUGAGUUAGACUAGAACGUGGUUAUUGUCCUUUUCCGCUCUAAAGCUCAUGAAUUCUAGGGUACAUUAUCUGAUACUGUUUUCUUUUUGUUAAAGAUUUAUUUUAUUUAUUUGAAACACAGAGUUACAGAGAGGCAGAGAGAGAGAGAGAGAGGUCUUCCAUCUUCCAAGUGCUUGGGCCCUGCACCCGCGUGGCUUCAGAUCGGCACAGCUCCGGCCAUUGUGACAUUUG